rnacentral:rRNA from 1 species
UACAGAGGUCCCAAGCGUUGUUCGGAUUCAUUGGGCGUAAAGGGUGCGUAGGCGGCCAACUAAGUCGGACGUGAAAUCCCUCAGCUUAACUGGGGAACUGCGUCCGAUACUGGAUGGCUUGGAUUUGGGAGAGGGAUGCGGAAUUCCAGGUGUAGCGGUGAAAUGCGUAGAUAUCUGGAGGAACACCGGUGGCGAAGGCGGCAUCCUGGACCAAUAUUGACGCUGAGGAGCGAAAGCCAGGGGAGCAAACGGG